rnacentral:rRNA from 1 species
GACGGAGGGUGCAAACGUUGUUCGGAUUCACUGGGCAUAAAGCGCACGUAGGCGGCUCGUUUAGUCAGUUGUGAAAUCCCCCGGCUCAACCGGGGAAUGGCAUCUGAUACUGGCGGGCUCGAGGUCGGUAGGGGUGAGCGGAACUCCAGGAGGAGCGGUGAAAUGCGUAGAUAUCUGGAGGAACACCGGUGGCGAAAGCGGCUCACUAGGCCGGCACUGACGCUAAGGUGCGAAAGCUAGGGUAGCAAACGGG